CGCCGCUUUGUCUCGUUUUUGGGACAUACAUCACAGGCUCGACAAAAAUAUAAACAGCAUAUCGAAUCUGAGCAGAUAGUGAAUUGCUUUAAAUAUAAGAGUACGUAGAAUUCAUAGUGGGUUCAGACUUUUACAAAAGAUUCGAACAAAAUAUAUUAAAUUGGUCUAUUUGAGUAAAUUAAGUCCCUUUUUAUUCAAAAUUACAAUCCAUUAAAAAAAGAAGCACAAGGCUGAUGUGCUUUUGAC
rnacentral:lncRNA from 1 species